CAGUCGCCACGGGAAUACGUAGGGUGCGAGCGUUAAUCGGAAUUACUGGGCGUAAAGCGUGCGCAGGCGGUUAUGUAAGACAGUUGUGAAAUCCCCGGGCUCAACCUGGGAACUGCAUCUGUGACUGCAUAGCUAGAGUACGGUAGAGGGGGAUGGAAUUCCGCGUGUAGCAGUGAAAUGCGUAGAUAUGCGGAGGAACACCGAUGGCGAAGGCAAUCACCUGGACCUGUACUGACGCUCAUGCACGAAAGCGUGGGGAGCAAACAGGAUUAGAUACCCCCGUAGUCCCUGUCUCUUAUAA
rnacentral:rRNA from 1 species